rnacentral:ncRNA from 1 species
UUUUUCUUGUCGGAGUGCCUAUAUUUCCACAAAAGCAUUCGCGAUGCCCUAAGAGGCGGCGCGAAGGAUGAAGUGGAAAAGGCUGAGACCGUUAAUUCGGGAUCCGCGGAACCUGAUCAGGUUAGAACCUGCGAAGGGAACAAGAGUAAUCCAUUC